AGUCACCUGCUCCUCAGAUCAGAAGGUGAUUGUGGCUUUGAGUAGAUAUUAAGCAGCCACAGCACUGCCUGGUCAGAAAGAGCAAGUGUACU
ensembl:miRNA